GCUUACGGCCACACCUCCCUGAGCAUGCCCGAUCUCGUCUGAUCUCGGAAGCUAAGCAGGGUCGGGCCCGGUUAGUACUUGGGUGGGAGACUUCCUGGGAAUACCAGGUGCUGUAAGCC
rnacentral:rRNA from 1 species